CCGAUCCCGGCAGCGGGACGUAACGGACCACGGCGCAGCUCCAACCCCACCGCGCUGUGCUCUGCGUGGCGCUGCGCUCCGCACAUCGCGUCGGUGGGCGCCGCACUCCGCGGCUGAGCGGCGCUGCUCCCAACGCCGCGCGGGGCCCGGCCCGGUGCUGCCCCACGCUGGCGGCCUCUGCCGCUCUGAAAACCAGGCGCUGUGGGGAAACGCAGCGCUGUCAGGAGCCGGCAGCGCACCCGUGUGAAGCACUGCAAAAAGAAAGAAGAAAAGACGUACAUCAUUUUGUUAUCUUCUUCAUUUUCACAUUCAUGGAUUCCUAUGAUUUGUGCUCCUCGAGCAGCUGGGCUCAGUCCCCACACGCAGUGCUCUCGGGGUCACAGGCAGCAGCACGGGGUGGGGACCCCAGGAGGUGACGUGGGGCUCUGUGUCUGACUUGUGCUACAGAGGACAACAAAUGCACACGAGAUCCAAGCACUGCAGCCACGAGCAGGAGGUGAGCGCAGGGCUCACUGAGGGUACAGCACAGCCAUGGCCACGGCCACGGCCACACAACGGCAGCAGCAGCCCCGGCACAGGAAGUGAUGCCCAUGGAGGCGGUGAGAGUAACGGAGCGGUGUCACUGCUGGAAGGAAAGGAGGGGAGGGGACAAAAGCCCCAUCCUCAGGAGACUCCAUCAUGUCCUCCCGUCCCCUCUGUGCUGCCCUCAGCACCCUCUGUCCCCCAGCAAACUUUCCACAUAGCCACAGCUCCACCUCACUCAACCCCAAAGCUUUAAUCCCACUGACAGCCCUGCAUCUUUCUGCCGUUUCCAGAUAUCCUUCUGCUCUCCAUAGCGGGUAGCUGAGCAUCACAGACACAGGGAGAGAAAAAGGAAAGAAUAAAAAGAGAAGGCUGAAGCAGAGCCCUAAGCCUGCACGAGGCCAUCAGCAAUGUUCUUAGUGCAACGGGAACAAGGAACAGCCACAUCCUCCAUCACAUCCUCCCAGCUCUGCUAAGCCCAGCACUGAAGGGCAGCACCACUCUGCUUAACCCUAUUUUGGCAGCUUUCCUGUCUCCCCAUGGCCAGGAGCUGGGAGGGAACCUCAGCCCCAUCCCCCAGGGCUGAUCCACAUGGGGCAGAGCACAGCCCUCCAGCACAGAGCGCAGCCACCAUACAUCAGACAGCGCUGGAGCCUCAUCUGCCUGUGUGCCCCUGCAUGGAGAUGCCCGUGGUGGGGGUGAAGCAAGGACAUGGGGAGACGAGCAGCUGGGCUGGGCAGUGAGGACAGGCCCUGUGCAGGGCCCUGCCGGCAGCACCCACCAGCAGUGGGAGUGCGGUUCUGGUGCUCUCAGCUCCCAGGACAGAGCCCUCAGUGCUGAGCUCACAGGGAUGCAGAGGGUUAAGGGCCCUGCUGAGCUCUCUGGAGACAGCAAGGACA
rnacentral:lncRNA from 1 species